CCUCCUUUCUUGGCAUGCACGCUGUUGCUCGUACUCGUGUGUGUAUGUAUGGAGGAACAGAGUUUUCAGUGCUAUGUCUUCGGUACCAGUGCGUUUCCUGUCGUCUGGUCCUAUCCUCAAUCACUGGAACAAUU